GACGAACGCUGGCGGCGUGCCUAACACAUGCAAGUCGUGCGAGAAAGUUCCUUCGGGAGCGAGUAAAGCGGCGCACGGGUGAGUAACACGUAGGUAACCUGCCCCCCAGUCUGGAACAACUAGAGGAAACUCUAGCUAAUGCCGGAUGAGACCACGAUUCCCUUCGGGGGUUGCGGCCAAAGAUGGCCUCUACUUGUAAGCUAUCGCUGAGGGAUGGGCCUGCGGGCCAUUAGCUUGUUGGUGAGGUAACGGCUCACCAAGGCUGUGAUGGCUAGCUGGUCUGAGAGGAUGACCAGCCACACUGGGACUGAGACACGGCCCAGACUCCUACGGGAGGCAGCAGU
rnacentral:rRNA from 1 species